AGUGAGAAAUUUUUAACCGAAGACUCAAGAUAAUCAGAAUGACGUGUACGGCAAAAUGAGUUGAUUUUUACUCAUCCCUGUGUUUUGUUCAGUGAGUUGAGUUGAUUGAAAAAGUUCCCGUAUGAUUAAAUCAAAAAAAUAGUGAUUUUUGCAGUUCUCUGGUAAGAACCUUAACUUUCUUGAUAUGAAGUUUAAGGUUAUGAUAUAAUGUGCCCAGUGGGCCACUUUUGGUAAGCAGAACUGGCGCUGUGGGAUGAACCAAACGUAAUGUUACGGUGCCCAAAUUAACAACUCAUGCAGAUACCAUGAAAGGCGUUGGUUGCUUAAAACAGCAGGACGGUGAUCAUGGAAGUCGAAAUCCGCUAAGGAGUGUGUAACAACUCACCUGCCGAAGCAACUAGCCCUUAAAAUGGAUGGCGCUUAAGUUGUAUACCUAUACAUUACCGCUAAAGUAGAUGAUUUAUAUUACUUGUAAUAUAAAUUUUGAAACUUUAGUGAGUAGGAAGGUACAAUGGUAUGCGUAGAAGUGUUUGGCGUAAGCCUGCAUGGAGCUGCCAUUGGUACAGAUCUUGGUGGUAGUAGCAAAUAAUCGAAUGAGACCUUGGAGGACUGAAGUGGAGAAGGGUUUCGUGUGAACAGUGGUUGAUCACGAGUUAGUCGGUCCUAAGUUCAAGGCGAAAGCCGAAAAUUUUCAAGUAAAAAACUAAUGACUAAAUAAAUAUAUAUACAAGCCAAAAAUAAUAUACUUGAAUAAUUUUGAACGAAAGGGAAUACGGUUCCAAUUCCGUAACCUGUUGAGUAUCCGUUUGUUAUUAAAUAUGGGCCUCGUGCUCAUCCUGGCAACAGGAACGACCAUAAAGAAGCCGUCGAGAGAUAUCGGAAGAGUUUUCUUUUCUGUUUUAUAGCCGUACUACCAUGGAAGUCUUUCGCAGAGAGAUAUGGUAGAUGGGCUAGAAGAGCAUG
rnacentral:ncRNA from 1 species